rnacentral:rRNA from 1 species
ACGGGGUGCAGCAGGCGCGAAACUUUUACAAUGCACGCAAGUGUGAUAAAGCAAACCAAAGUGUUUUUCGUUUAGAAAAACUUUUUCUUAGUGUAAAAAACUAGGAGAAUAAGGACUGGGAAAGACUGGUGCCAGCCGCCGCGGUAAUACCAGCAGUUCAAGUUGCAUCCCUUUUUAUUGGGUCUAAAACAUCCGUAGCUCGCUGUUUAAGUUCUUUGUAAAAUCCUGUGUCUCAAGCACAGGACCUGCAGAGAAUACUAAACAGCUAGAGAUCGGUAGAUGUAAGGAGUACGCUGAGGGUAAUGGUAAAAUAUGUUAAUCCUCGGUGGACUAACAAUGAGCGAAGGCACCUUACAAGGACGAAUCUGACAGUAAGGGAUGAAGGCCAGGGGCGCAAAACGGAUUAGAUACCCGUGUAGUCCUGGCAGUAAACACUGCUCACUAAACAUCGGGUCCUCUUCGGGAGGAUUCGGUGCUGAAGCGAAGGCGAAGAGUGAGCUACCUGGGAAGUAUAGUCGCAAGAUCGAAACUUAAAGGAAUUGGCGGGGGAG